rnacentral:rRNA from 1 species
AGUGAACGCUGGCGGUAGGCCUAACACAUGCAAGUCGAACGGCAGCACAGUAAGAGCUUGCUCUUACGGGUGGCGAGUGGCGGACGGGUGAGGAAUACAUCGGAAUCUACUUUUUCGUGGGGGAUAACGUAGGGAAACUUACGCUAAUACCGCAUACGACCUACGGGUGAAAGCAGGGGAUCUUCGGACCUUGCGCGAUUGAAUGAGCCGAUGUCGGAUUAGCUAGUUGGCGGGGUAAAGGCCCACCAAGGCGACGAUCCGUAGCUGGUCUGAGAGGAUGAUCAGCCACACUGGGACUGAGGAACGGUCCAGACCCCGCCUGGGGGCAGCAGUAGGGACUAUUGCAGAAUGCGCGCAAGCUUGAUCCAGCCAUACCGGGGGAAUGAAGAAGGCCUUAGGCUUCUACAACGCUUUUGUUGGGAAAAAAAAAAAACACGUUAAUACCUCGCUGUUAUGACGGUACCCAAAGAAUAAGCACCGGCUAACUUCGUG